CCUACGGGAGGCAGCAGUGGGGAAUAUUGCACAAUGGGCGCAAGCCUGAUGCAGCAACGCCGCGUGAGGGACGACGGCCUUCGGGUUGUAAACCUCUUUUAGUAGGGAAGAAGCGAAAGUGACGGUACCUGCAGAAAAAGCACCGGCUAACUACGUGCCAGCAGCCGCGGUAAUACGUAGGGUGCAAGCGUUAUCCGGAAUUAUUGGGCGUAAAGAGCUCGUAGGCGGUUUGUCACGUCUGCUGUGAAAACUGGAGGCUCAAACCUCCAGCCCUUGCNGUGGU
rnacentral:rRNA from 1 species